rnacentral:rRNA from 2 species
AAAUUGAAGAGUUUGAUCAUGGCUCAGAUUGAACGCUGGCGGCAGGCCUAACACAUGCAAGUCGAACGGUAACAGGAAGCAGCUUGCUGCUUCGCUGACGAGUGGCGGACGGGUGAGUAAUGUCUGGGAAACUGCCUGAUGGAGGGGGAUAACUACUGGAAACGGUGGCUAAUACCGCAUAACGUCGCAAGACCAAAGAGGGGGACCUUCGGGCCUCUUGCCAUCAGAUGUGCCCAGAUGGGAUUAGCUUGUUGGUGAGGUAACGGCUCACCAAGGCGACGAUCCCUAGCUGGUCUGAGAGGAUGACCAGCCACACUGGAACUGAGACACGGUCCAGACUCCUACGGGAGGCAGCAGUGGGGAAUAUUGCACAAUGGGCGCAAGCCUGAUGCAGCCAUGCCGCGUGUAUGAAGAAGGCCUUCGGGUUGUAAAGUACUUUCAGCGGGGA